CAGUCGCCGCGGGAAUACGAAGGGUGCAAGCGUUACUCGGAAUUACUGGGCGUAAAGCGUGCGUAGGUGGUGGUUUAAGUCCGUUGUGAAAGCCCUGGGCUCAACCUGGGAAUUGCAGUGGAUACUGGAUCACUAGAGUGUGGUAGAGGAUAGUGGAACUUCCGGUGUAGCAGUGAAAUGCGUAGAGAUCGGAAGGAACAUCUGUGGCGAAGGCGACUAUCUGGGCCAACACUGACACUGAGGCACGAAAGCGUGGGGAGCAAACAGGAUUAGAUACCCGAGUAGUCCCUGUCUCUUAUAC
rnacentral:rRNA from 1 species